rnacentral:rRNA from 1 species
ACCUCUUCCCAUCCCGAACAGAGAAGUUAAGCCCUGCAGCGCCGAUGGUACUGGGGUCGCACCCGGGAGAGUAGGCCGCCGCCACAA